GGUGAGAGUGGCGAACGGGUGAGUAAUGCGUGACCAACCUGCCCCAUGCUCCAGAAUAGCUCUUGGAAACGGUGGUAAUGCUGGAUGCUCCAACUUGACGCAUCGUCUUGUUGGGAAAGUGUUUAGUGGCAUGGGGAUGGGGGUCGCGUCCUAUCAGCUUGUAGGCGGGGUAAUGGCCCACCUAGGCUUCGACGGGUAGCCGGCCUGAGAGGGCGGACGGCCACAUUGGGACUGAGAUACGGCCCAGACUCCUACGGGGAGGCAGCAGUGGGGAAUAUUGCGCAAUGGGGAAAACCCUGACGCAGCGACGCCGCGUGCGGGAUGAAGGCCUUCGGGUUGUAAACCGCUUUUGAUUGGGGAGCAAGCUUUCGGGUGAGUGUACCUUUCGAAUAAGCGCCGGCUAACUACGUGCCAGCAGCCGCGGUAAAU
rnacentral:rRNA from 1 species